AAUAAUAAGUAACUUUGCAGAUUUUUAUGGGGAGCUUCUCCCAAGCAUAAGGGGCAGCAUAGGAGAAAGUACAAAGGUACUUGUUUGAAAUUUUAAUAAAUGGGUGAUGGAAGCUGGCAUCAUGGGCUAAUGGCAGGUGGGUAUUGUAAGCUUGGUUGU